AAUCUUGCGCAAUGGGUGAAAGCCUGACGCAGCCAUGCCGCGCGAAUGCUGCAGGUCGUUGGAUUGUAAAAUUCUUUCACCGGGGACGAUAAAGACGGUCCCCGGAGAAGAAGCCCCGGCCAACUUCGUGUCAGCAGCCGCGGUAAUACGAAGGGGGCUAGCGUUGCUCGGAAUUACUGGGCGUAAAGGGCGCGUAGGCGGACAUUUAAGGCAGGGGUGAAAUCCCAGAGCUCAACUCUGGAACUGCCUUUGAUACUGGGUGUCUUGAGUGUGAGAGAGGUAUGUGGAACUCCGAGUGUAGAGGUGAAAUUCGUAGAUAUUCGGAAGAACACCAGUGGCGAAGGCGACAUACUGGCUCAUUACUGACGCUGAGGCGCGAAAGCGUGGGGAGCAAACA
rnacentral:rRNA from 1 species